AAUAAGUGCAGUUUUGCACUAUUCACGUUGAACGUUUGACCGUUCGUCUUAUUUAAAAAUUUUUUAUGAUUAGUAUUUUUGUUGUUAUUAGAUGAUAAAACAUAAUAGUAUUUUAUGUGUGACUAAAUAUUUUCAAAUUUUUCACAAAUUUUUCAAAUAAGACAGACGGUCAAACGUUGGGCACGGAUAUCCACGGCUGCACUUAUU
rnacentral:pre_miRNA from 1 species